rnacentral:rRNA from 1 species
GAAAGAUGAAAAGAACUUUGAAAAGAGAGUUAAACAGUAUGUGAAAUUGUUGAAAGGGAAACGAUUGAAGCCAGUCGUACCUUCGGGUAAUCAGCCUUUCGGGUGCGAUUCUGUGGAGUGUGAGGAGCUUAAACACCUUCAUGUUUUGCAUAUUCGUACUCUUGGGUGUACUUGUCCGUGUGGUUGGUUAACAUCAAUUUUGGUGGUCAUAAAAUGACUGGAGGAAUGUAGCUUCGAUCUUGUAUUGAAGUGUUAUA